GCCACGGCCAUACCAGCCUGGGUACGCCCGAUCUCGUCUGAUCUCGGAAGCUAAGUAGGGUCGGGCCUGGUUAGUACUUGGAUGGGAGACCGCCUGGGAAUACCAGGUGCUGUAAGCA
rnacentral:rRNA from 1 species